rnacentral:lncRNA from 1 species
GUACAGACCAGAGGAACCAGAGAGAGCAGCAGUGAGUACUGCUCCAGAGUUUUCAGAGCCUGCAGAGUCAGUCCAGAUAGCCAGAGGUGAGUGGAACUAAACUAAUGCUUUUACUUGAAAAAUGAAAUGUUUUGAGCAUAGUUCAUGCAUCAUGAGUAUACAGUAGGUUGUUUGCAUUAGCAUUCACGAAUAUGCUGCAUUGCAUAGUUCAUUGUUGUUGUGGGUGAAUGCUGAAUGAUCCAAUAGUCUCUCAGAGAAGUCCAGGAGCCUUUGACUACGCCCUGGCAGGUAUAUAGUAAAGUCCAGGAGCCUUUGACUACGCCCUGGCCAUGGUAAGUACAGAAGUGUUAUAUACACAUAUACAUAUAUGACAGGAAGACCAGGUGCUCGAUUCUACGCCCUGGCACAGAGUUACCGGGACUAUAUGGUGACAGGUUUACCCUUGAUGUGAAUUGUCUGUGAUAUGGUGCAUUCCAUGAGAUCAUAUUUUAAUGAGAUGUUUUACUGUUCUACUCACUGGGCUAUAGAGCUCAUCCCACUCCCUUAACCCCAGUUUUGCAGGUUCAGUAUACAGUAUAUAGAGGAGAUCCACAGCGUACAGAAAGAGUAAAGAGAGUUGUAAUAGCUUAGAGUGAACAUGUAAUAGUAAAGAGAUGUAAUAGUUGUGUAUAAAGGUAGCAAUGUGCUUGACUUAGUGAUGUUUGUUUUGUACAUGAUCUGUAUAUGUAUAUAUGUUUUACUGUAUGUGAAAAACUAGGCUUAACAGGUAUGAGUUAACCCAUUUAGAGCAAGCUCUAGUCAGGGGUACAGAGUACAGAGUACAGAGUACAGAGUACAGAGUACAGCGAUUGUGCAUGCACAGGUUAAGCCUUGGUGCAGAAAAGAGUUUUUAUUUUCACAGAAAAUGUAUGAUCAUGUAUGAGUUUUACAGGUACACAGAGUGUAUAGCAGGCUUGCUACGGGUUCUGGCGGCCUUAAGCCGACCUGAAUCCUAGCGCCGGUGACGGUCCAUUUUGGGGUCGUUACAUCCUCCACCACCAGCAGCACCUACUGUCCCAGAAAACCAAAUGCCUAAACCUAGCUCAUCUAGGGGGAGCAAGGUCAAGAUGACCGAUUAUAUGAAGCUGGGUGCUCCCCAGUUUGAAACUGGUGAUGACCCGUUUGUGUACCUCGAGAGGGUCAAGACAAUUACAAAUGAGAUAGGAGCUGAUGACAGUAAAGCCAUUCAGAUGGCUGGGUUCACACUAAAAUGCAAAAAGGCCCGAGAGUGGUUUAAGAACUAUGUGAACCCGAGGUUGGACAGCCUAUCAUGGGAGGAGUUUGCAAAUGAGUUUGCAGGAUGGGCUUUCCCUGACAGUUCAAGAGAAUUGAAGAUGAUUGAGUUUGAGCAGCUAAGGCAAACGGAUGAGAUGAGUGUGGAUGAGUAUACAGACAGAUUCUUGGAGCUGUUGCCGUUUGCUGGGCAGAAUCUGGAUACAGAUCAGAAAAAGUCAAGGAGGUAUAUCAUGAAGCUCCAUUCCAGGUAUUCCUCCUUGAUUCAGUCAGCAGAGAGGGAGAGUUUUCAUGCCAUAGUGGAUAUGGCUCGGAGGAUGGAGGCUAGUGCAAUAAUCGAGGGGAAAGUCAAGCAGUCAGUGGCAAAGCCUUCUGGUUCCAAGACCCCAGGUGGGGGAAGUUAGAUCCUUUUUCUCUGAGUUCAGGCAGUAAGAGAUGGGGUAAAGCCAAGUCUAAGAAGAAUAAGUUUUGGAGCAAGAUCAAGUCAGGUCUAGGAUUAGGGAGUGGCUCAAGCUCUGGUGCAGAUAAUGCAGUAUGCAAGAAAUGUGGGAAGCCGCACAAAGGAGUAUGUCUUGUUGGGACGACAGCCUGCUUCAGAUGUGGGCAGGAGGGACACAUGGCACGGGAGUGUCCUAGGGCAGCUUUUGUGGCACAGUCUCAGCAGACAGCUUCAGGCAGUGUAGCUCAGCCAGUAGCUCCAGCCACGACUCAGGCUAGUGGCAGAGGUCGAGGGAGAGGGGCAGCCUCUUCUUCAGCGGGUUUCAGGGGUGAGGGUCCGUCAGCUCCAGCACGGAUCUUCACCAUGACUCAGCAGGAGGCAAACACAUCCAACACCGUGGUGUCAGGUAAUCUCAUCAUUGGUUGUUCAGAUGUGUAUGCAUUAUUGGACCCUGGUGCAUCUCAUUCUUUCAUUUCUCCGAGGGCCGUCGAGAGGUUGGGAUUGAUGGUCUCUGGGUUAGAGUGUCCCCUAUGGGUCAGUGGACCCAAGUGUGACCCGUCAGUGGCAGAGUCAGUCUGCCAGUAUAGUCCAAUUUUUGUGGAAGGAAGAUGCCUGUCCGCCGACCUUAUGGUUCUAGAUUUGACAGAUUUUGACGUCAUUCUAAGGAUGGAUUGGUUAUCUACCCAUGGUGCUACCUUGGAUUGCAGAGACAAGGUAGUCAGGUUCAGAUGUCAGGAUGGGUCAGAGGUUGUCUUCAGAGGAGACAGGGGGAGUACACCUAGAGGUUUGAUAUCUGCCCUUCAGGCUCGUAGGCUACUCAGGAGGGGUUGUCAGGGUUUCCUAGCUCAUAUGAGAGAGCUGGAUAGUCAUGUCAGAGAGCCCGCCUCGGUGCCAGUGGUCAGAGAGUUUUUAGAUGUGUUCCCAGACGAGCUGUCAGGUUUACCGCCUGAUAGGGAGAUAGAGUUUGAGAUAGAAUUGAUGCCUGAAACCAGACCGAUCUCUAUUCCUCCCUACAGGAUGGCACCAGCAGAAUUGAAGGAGUUUAAGGAGCAGUUGCAAGAGUUGGUAGAUAGAGGAUUCAUCCGACCGAGUACCUCACCUUGGGGUGCUCCAAUGCUAUUUGUGAAAAAGAAGGAUGGAUCUCUCAGACUUUGUAUCGACUACAGGCAGUUGAACAAGGUCACUACCAAGAAUAAGUACCCGUUGCCAAGGAUCGACGAUCUAUUCGACCAGCUAGCAGGAGCAGGUUGUUUCUCCAAGAUAGAUCUGAGAUCAGGGUACCAUCAGCUGAGGAUAAGGGAAGAGGAUGUACCAAAGAUAGCCUUCAGGACCAGAUAUGGGCAUUUUGAGUUCCUUGUGAUGCCGUUUGGGUUAACCAAUGCCCCUGCAGCAUUCAUGGAUCUCAUGAAUAGGGUUUUCAAUCAGUACCUGGAUCACUUUGUUAUUGUCUUCAUAGAUGAUAUCUUAGUGUAUUCCAGGAAUGCAGAGGAGCAUGCCCAUCAUCUGAGGUUAGUUCUGCAGACUUUGAGGGAACAUGGCUUGUAUGCCAAGUUCUCCAAAUGUGAGUUCUGGCUGAGGAGCAUAUCAUUCUUGGGGCAUGUUGUGUCAGAAAAUGGUAUAGAGGUGGACCCCAAGAAGGUAGAAGCUGUGGCUAACUGGCCUAGACCCACUUCAGUGACGGAGAUCAGGAGUUUCUUGGGUUUGGCAGGUUACUAUAGGAGGUUCGUUCAGGACUUCUCUAAGAUUGCAGCUCCCCUGACCAGAUUAACCAGGAAGAAUAAGAAAUUUAUGUGGACCGAUCAGUGCGAAGAGAGUUUUGAAGAGCUUAAGACGAGGUUAACGUCAGCACCGGUGUUAGCUUUGCCUAACAGUCAGGAGAAUUUCACAGUGUUAUGUGAUGCAUUCCGAGUGGGAUUGGGUUGUGUGCUAAUGCAGAAUGAAAGGGUGAUUGCUUAUGCUUCUAGGCAGCUGAAGAAGCAUGAGUUGAAUUACCCUACACACGACCUGAAAAUGGCAGCCGUAAUCUUUGCACUCAAGAUGUGGAGGCAUUACCUUUAUGGGGUAAAAUGUGAGAUCUUCACCGAUCAUAAAAGCCUACAGUACAUCCUGAGUCAAAGAGAUUUGAACUUGAGACAGAGAAGAUGGGUGGAGCUGCUGAGUGAUUAUGAUUGCAAGAUUCAGUAUCAUCCGGGUAAGGCGAAUGUGGUGGCAGACGCCCUAAGCCGGAAAUCACUAGGCAGUUUAUCCCACAUCACGGCUGAGAGGAGACCGGUGGUGAAAGAGUUUUACAAGCUCAUUGAGGAAGGUCUACAGCUAGAGCUGUCUGGUACAGGUGCUUUGAUAGCCUAGAUGAGAGUGACACCUGUGUUCCUGGAGCAGGUGGCUCAAAAACAACAUGAGGACCCAGAGUUAGUAAAGAUUGCCAGGACGGUUCAGUCAGGCAAGAAUGAAGAGUUCAGAUUCGACAGCAAGGGGAUCCUCCGCUAUGGGAAUAGACUAUGUGUACCAGAUGACAUCAGUUUAAAGGGAGACAUUAUGAGGGAAGCUCAUAAUGCCAAGUACAGUGUUCACCCUGGAGCCACCAAGAUGUAUCAAGAUCUGAAGAGAGUGUAUUGGUGGCCAGCUAUGAAGAGAGAAGUGGCAUAGUUUGUGUCAGCCUGCGAAGUAUGUCAGAGGGUGAAGCUGGAACAUCAGAAGCCGGCUGGAAUGCUUAACCCACUACCUAUUCCAGAAUGGAAAUGGGAGAACAUAGCUAUGGACUUCGUAGUGGGGUUACCGGCAGCAUCCAACAGGUUAGACUCCAUAUGGGUGAUUGUGGACAGACUGACCAAAUCUGCUCACUUCAUCCCUGUCAGGAGCAACUACUCAGUGGAUAAGUUAGCGCAGGUGUAUGUGGAUGAAGUGGUAAGGCUGCAUGGGGUUCCUGUUUCGAUAGUGUCUGAUAGAGGGCCCCAGUUCACCUCUAGAUUUUGGCGGAGUCUGCAGAAUGCUAUGGGUACCAGGUUGAAUUUCAGUACUGCCUUCCAUCCCCAGACUGACGGAUAGUCGGAGAGGACCAUCCAGACUAUAGAAGAUAUGCUCAGAAUGUGUGUGCUAGAUUUUGGCGGUUCUUGGAGGCAGCAUCUACCCUUGGUGGAGUUUGCCUACAAUAACAGCUAUCAUGCUAGCAUAGGGAUGGCUCCAUAUGAAGCUUUAUAUGGGAGGAAGUGCAGGUCACCUGUUUGCUGAGAAGAAGUAGGGGAAAAGGCCUUGGCAGGCCCUGAGCUUGUUGAGAUCACCAACAGGGUAGUGCCCAUUAUCAGAGAGAGGAUCAGAACUGCUGUGAGCAGACAGAAGAGCUAUACAGACAUCCGCAGGAGACAGGUAGAAUUUCAGGAGGGAGAUCUGGUAUUGCUCAAGGUGUCUCCUAUGAAAGGAGUGGUUCGUUUUGGAAAGAAAGGUAAGCUAGCCCCAUGAUACAUCGGACCCUUUGAAAUCUUGCAGAAGAUUGGGAAUGUGUCGUACAAGCUGGAUUUACCUGCUUCAAUGGAAAGCAUCCAUCCGGUUUUCCAUGUUUCCAUGUUGAGGAAGUUCGUGUCAGAUCCGGGCAAGGUUCUUAGUGAGCCUGAUGUGGAGAUCCAAGAAGAUCUCACCUAUGUUGAACAGCCAGUGCGGAUUCUUGACACCCAGAUCAGGAAGCUGAGAAACAAGGAAAUCCCGAUGGUGAAAUUCUUUUGGAACCACCACAAUAUGGAAGAAUGCACCUAGGAGACACGGGAGUCCAUGCUCCAGCAAUACCCUUAUCUUUUCUAAGGUUAGUUUCUUGUGUGUUUCAUGUGUUUUAUGUGUAUGAUGUGUUUAUGCCUUGCAUGUGCUAGUUGAGGAACAUUCGAGGACGAAUGUUCUUAAGGGGGGGGGAGAAUGUAAUACCCGGCUAGACUCCGGUAUCGGAAUUCCUACCGUCCGGUGGAAUCUCGGGUGUCGGAGACUUCUAGAAGGGUAAAACCAUGUUUUUAUAAAAUGUUUUAAUGUAAUUUAUGUUUUUAAGCAAGAAAGAAAAUGAGUUUUUGCAUGAAAAUAGCAUUGGAGGAAAACUCGGGUUCGGCCGCCGAACCUCAAGUUCGGCUGCCGAACAUGCAUGCGCUUCGGGAGUGCUUUAGGCCCCCGAAGGCAUAAGUGAGGGAAGUCCAGGUUCGGCCGCCGAACCUUAUGUUCGGCUGCCGAACAUGCCAUGCAUGCGGAGGCACGUUAGGCCCCCGAAAGUGGCCUGGCCAGCCACCUAUAAAGGGGUCCCCAUGUCCGAACGGGUGAGCUUUUUCUCCCCAUUUUCGGCCAAGGUGAGUCUCCGCCACUCUCAUGCCGGUCUUGAGUUCUUCCUUCAAAUCCUCCAUGAUUUUUAUGAGUUUUCACCUUUCUUUUGAAGAUCUUUAAGCAAAUAGCAAGUUUUGGAGCUUGGAGGUUCAAGGAACUCGAUCUCUCCCAUCUCCGAGCUAGGAUCGUUUUUCCUCUCGAUCUUCAAGAGGUAAGAGUCGAUCUUGAGCUCAUUAUAUGUUUUAAACAAGUUUCAAGUUGAUUCUUGGGUAGAAAUGCAUGCUUAGGUUAGUUGAGCUUUGUUAGGUUUUGUGUUGUGUUUAUGGAUAAUGUAGGUUGCUGAGUUGCUUUUGAUGUGUUGUAGUUGGGGUUUAGGAUAGUUUGAAGCCCCUAGGAGCUUAUGUAUAUGUUUAUGCAUGUUUUGGUUGAGUUGUAUGCAUGAUUGAAGGUUUUGGGAGGCCAAUGUGCAUAAGAGCCGAGUUUCUGCCACUUUGGGAGAAACUCAGGUUCGGCAGCCGAAGGGACUUUCGGCCGCCGAACCUGCCUGUGGAGGCAAGCUUUUGGCUGCCGAAGCCUGCCCCCGAAAGUGGACUUUCGUCUCUAGAGGGGACUUUCGGCCGCCGAAGGUGCCGCCGAACAUGCAUGAGUUUCGCCUCUGGAGAGAACCUUCGGCUGCCGAAAGUGCCGCCGAAGGUGUAUGACUUUCGGCUCUGGCGGGACUUUCGGCCGCCGAACCUGCCGCCGAAAGUGCCCUGUUCAGCCCUCCUUUGCAUGAAUUCUUUGAUUGUUUUGAGGUGUUUUAGGGGGUUUGGGUGAUAUUUUUAGAGUCAUGUUCUAGUAUGUUUGGUCCCUUAUUUGAGUCCACCUGUGUAGGUUCGAACCCAAGGAACCGAGGACCCCAGCAGUGAGUCAGUUACUUCAGUUCAUUGUCAGAGUUAGCCUGAGGUGAGUGGAAUACCUUAUGUUAUUUCAAAGUAAAUAAAUAAAUUCUGAGCAUAAUACACGCAUCAUGAAUGCCAUGAGAUAUACUAGGGUGCUUGCAUUAGAAUCCACGAAUAUGUUGCACUGCAUUCUUUGUUGUGGAUGUGGGUGAAUGUUGUAUGAUCCGAUUAGUCCCUGAGGAAAGACCAGGACCCCAUUCUAUGGCCUGGCACGGUAUGAAAGACCAGGACCCCAUUCUACGGCCUGGCACAGUAUGGAACGCGAAGACCAGGUGCUCAGAUGAGGCCCUGGGGCAAUGGUAAGUAAUGUUAUGAUAUGACAGGAAGACCAGGACCCCAUUCUACGGCCUGGCACGGAUAUGAUGCUGGGACUAUUUGGUGACAGGUUCACCCUUGAUGUGAUUUGUCUGUGAUAUGAUGCAGUACAUGAUGGCAUAUGUUUUAAAUGUUUUAGUAUUCUGCUCACUGGGCUCUAGUAGCUCACCCCUUUCCCUAUAUCCCCUAGGUUUGCAGGUACGAGCUAGAUCAGGGAGUCAAGAAGAGUAAAGUCAUGUGAUUUGUAAUAGUUAGAUGUGGACAUGAUGAUUUGUAAAAUGAUGUAAGGUUAUGAUCAGUCAUGUUAUGUAAUAUUGAUAUUGAGGAUUAGAAUUGUGCUUGACCAUAGUAUGUUUGAAUAAUCCC